UACGUAGGUGGCAAGCGUUAAUCGGAAUUACUGGGCGUAAAGCGUGCGCAGGCGGUUUUGUAAGUCUGAUGUGAAAGCCCCGGGCUCAACCUGGGAAUUGCAUUGGAGACUGCAAGGCUUGAAUCUGGCAGAGGGGGGUAGAAUUCCACGUGUAGCAGUGAAAUGCGUAGAGAUGUGGAGGAACACCGAUGGCGAAGGCAGCCCCCUGGGUCAAGAUUGACGCUCAUGCACGAAAGCGUGGGGAGCAAACAGG
rnacentral:rRNA from 1 species